AGAGGGCGCCAAAGGCGACGCGCUGGCGGCCAGCUCCAAGCCAACCAGACCCAUUGCGUCCGUCUGCAGGAACCUGUCUCUUCACCCUGCUUUGGACACUGAGCUUCAGAGGAUCUGGCUGCGUGCUGAAUCAACGCCAGGGCGCCGCCUAGAGGUCGGUCGCGUCCUCGGUCUCGCUCACCGACCACAGAGCUGCUUGUCCAAGCCACAGUGUCAGACUUAAACAAAACAAAACAAAAUUCCUGCUUGGGUCAGAGACUUGGUUUCUGGGACCGUUGACUUAUCAGAAACUUGCCUCCUCUCUGCUUCAUAAUGAACCCCAGGAAGAGAGAGGGACCAGGGAUCUCAAAGAAAUAUUUGUCUUUGUGACACCGACUAGGUGGAAGAAAAGUCUCAACAUGACAAGAGGGGAUAUAAACUGUUUGAAGUUCAUCAGCACGGUGAAGUUUUAUUGUAUUUCCGGUCCCUAAGAUUUACACCCUGAAAAGAGAAGCCGGCAGCCUGGCAGACUCCCUCCAUACCUCCGAGUUUCCACGCCAGAGACACACAGUGGCCAAGCGGACACUUUGCUUUCCGGGAGCAGGGAGGGAGGGAGCCGGCUCCGACCGACUCUCCCUCAAAGGCUCAGUUCUACUUGGCUCCACUCUCCUGUCUACUCCCCUGUCUCAAGGCUGGGGUUGCCUUCGAGUUGGAAGGUUUGAUAUCUGAGAGCUGCCUGGGAGUCUGGGUAACCCUGGAGCCCAGGGACUGGCCAGAUGGUGAGUGUGUGCGAAUCUUCCUA
rnacentral:lncRNA from 1 species